rnacentral:rRNA from 1 species
UGCAAGUCGAACGGUAACAGGCCGCUGUGAUCCCUUCGGGGAGAACUUGGCGCUGACGAGUGGCGGACGGGUGAGUAAUGCUUAGGAAUCUACCCAGUAGUGGGGGACAACCCGAGGAAACUCGGGCUAAUACCGCAUACGCCCUACGGGGGAAAGCAGGGGAUCUUCGGACCUUGCACUAUUGGAUGAGCCUAAGUCGGAUUAGCUUGUUGGUGAGGUAAAGGCUCACCAAGGCGACGAUCCGUAGCUGGUCUGAGAGGACGAUCAGCCACACUGGGACUGAGACACGGCCCAGACUCCUACGGGAGGCAGCAGUGGGGAAUAUUGGACAAUGGGGGCAACCCUGAUCCAGCAAUGCCGCGUGUGUGAAGAAGGCCUGCGGGUUGUAAAGCACUUUCAGUAGAGAAGAAAAGCCUACGGUUAAUACCCGUGAGUCUUGACGUUACCUACAGAAGAAGCUCCGGCUAACUCCGUGCCAGCAGCCGCGGUAAUACGGAGGGAGCGAGCGUUAAUCGGAAUUACUGGGCGUAAAGCGCGCGUAGGCGGCUUUGUAAGUCGGAUGUGAAAGCCCUGGGCUCAACCUGGGAAUGGCAUUCGAUACUGCAGAGCUAGAGUAUGGUAGAGGGAAGUGGAAAUUUCCGGUGUAGCGGUGAAAUGCGUAGAUAUCGGAAAGGAACAC